rnacentral:rRNA from 1 species
UACAGAGGGUGCAAGCGUUGUUCGGAAUUAUUGGGCGUAAAGCGCGUGUAGGCGGCUUUGCAAGUCGGGUGUGAAAGCCCUCAGCUCAACUGAGGAAGUGCGCCCGAAACUGCAUUGCUUGAGUACCGGAGAGGAUGGCGGAAUUCCCGAAGUAGAGGUGAAAUUCGUAGAUAUCGGGAGGAACACCGGUGGCGAAGGCGGCCAUCUGGACGGAUACUGACGCUGAGACGCGAAAGCGUGGGUAGCAAACAGG